AGAGCCGAAAAAAUAAAUCGAGGAAACACCAGUUAAAAAUUCGGGAUAUCUAAAAAUUCGCGCUCAGUUGUUCUCCUCUUCGCUUUUUUUUUUUUUUUUU
rnacentral:ribozyme from 1 species